rnacentral:rRNA from 1 species
UACGUAGGGGGCAAGCGUUGUCCGGAAUUAUUGGGCGUAAAGAGCGUGUAGGCGGUCCGGUAAGUCGGCUGUGAAAGUCCAGGGCUCAACCCUGGGAUGCCGGUCGAUACUGCCGGACUAGAGUUCGGAAGAGGCGAGUGGAAUUCCCGGUGUAGCGGUGAAAUGCGCAGAUAUCGGGAGGAACGCCUAUGGCGAAGGCAGCUCGCUGGGACGUUACUGACGCUGAGACGCGAAAGCGUGGGGAGCAAACAGG